AAGCCAGACUCCUACGGGAGGCAGCAGUGGGGGAUAUUGCACAAUGGGGGGAACCCUGAUGCAGCGACGCCGCGUGGGUGAAGGAGCGCCUCGGCGCGUAAAGCCCUGUCAGCAGGGAAGAAAAUGACGGUACCUGAAGAAGAAGCCCCGGCUAACUACGUGCCAGCAGCCGCGGUAAUACGUAGGGGGCAAGCGUUAUCCGGAUUCACUGGGUGUAAAGGGAGCGUAGACGGCGACGCAAGUCUGGAGUGAAAGCCCGGGGCCCAACCCCGGGACUGCUCUGGAAACUGCGUCGCUGGAGUACGGGAGGGGCAGGCGGAAUUCCUGGUGUAGCGGUGAAAUGCGUAGAUAUCAGGAGGAACACCGGCGGCGAAGGCGGCCUGCUGGACCGUGACUGACGUUGAGGCUCGAGAGCGUGGGGAGCAAACAGGAUUAGAUACCCUAGUA
rnacentral:rRNA from 1 species